CCUGCAGUCUUCAGUCCAGUAACAUGCUGUACAGCUCCUCAUAGAGUUCCAGUGCCUAAGAGAAUGGAAGGGAGCCCGACCGCCUUCAUCACUCAUUAGCCUCCUCGGGAAGUGACCGGACUCUGGAAGAAUGGCUAUCCUCUACUUAAGAGAUUAGCAAGCACUGGCAUUACCAACCUUAGCAAGGACUUCUGUGCCACAGAAUGGAUGAGAGCUCCACAUCCCUGCACUUUAAAGACCAUGUCAAUGUUUGUCCUUUGAUGGAAAAUCAAGGACUGUUUAAGCCAAGUCCAGAGGGACACCCUGCAAUGUUUUGCUCUGUGUAAAUCCUUCAGCACCUUUGUACUUUCAGGCUGUGUGGUCAGGGAACCACAAUAAUGACUGAGAUUGAAUAGUUUUGUCCCUGGUGGAAUGAAGGCAUAGGGUCAAACCUGAUCUGAUUUAAAGACAGUAAUGUAAAUUUUCUUGCACAUUCAAGUUUAUGGAGCAAAAUUCAGACCCACCACCCAAUGUUUGUUUCUUUUAACUUUUUUUUUUUCUUUUUUGAGACAGAGUCUCACUUUGUGGGUUGGACUAGAGUGC